rnacentral:lncRNA from 1 species
GCUACCUUCUCGGUCACUUUCUCCGCCGGAGCUGCAGGUUCACCUUCUUUCUUCUCUUCCACCACAGGUGCAGCUUCUUUCUUCUCUUCCACCACAGGUUCAGCUUCUUUCUUCUCUUCCACCACAGGUUCAGCUUCUUUCUUCACUUCCACCACAGGUACAGCUUCUUUCUUCUCAACAGGUUCAGCUUCUUUCUUCGAUUCCACCACAGGUACAGUUUCUUUCUUCUCCUCCACCACAGGUUCAGCUUCUUUCUUCUCUUCCACCACAAGUGCAGUUUCUUUCUUCUCUUCGACCACAGGUGCAGUGAAUUCAUGUUUGUUCAGAGCAUCUCGAACCAAUUCCUUCAACUCAGCUAAAGCCUUCUGUUCAGGAUUUG